rnacentral:rRNA from 1 species
CCUACGGGUGGCAGCAGUCGAGAAUUUUUCUCAAUGGGGGAAACCCUGAAGGAGCGACGCCGCGUGGAGGAUGAAGGCUUUCGGGUUGUAAACUCCUGUCAUCUGGGAACAAAACUCGCAAGAGCUUGAUAGUACCAGAAGAGGAAGAGACGGCUAACUCUGUGCCAGCAGCCGCGGUAAUACAGAGGUCUCAAGCGUUGUUCGGAUUCAUUGGGCGUAAAGGGCGCGUAGGCGGUGGGGUAAGUCUGGUGUGAAAUCUCGGAGCUCAACUUCGAAAUUGCACUGGAUACUGCUCUGCUAGAGGGCUGGAGAGGAGAUCGGAAUUCACGGUGUAGCAGUGAAAUGCGUAGAUAUCGUGAGGAAGACCAGUGGCGAAGGCGGAUCUCUGGACAGCUCCUGACGCUGAGGCGCGAAGGCUAGGGGAGCAAACGGGAUUAGAUACCCUUGUAGUC